UAAGGAAUAUUGGUCAAUGGACGCAAGUCUGAACCAGCCAUGCCGCGUGGAGGAUUAAGGCCCUCUGGGUUGUAAACUCCUUUUAUCUGGGAAGAAAUGUUCCGAUUCUUCGGGAUUUGACGGUACCAGAGGAAUAAGCACCGGCUAACUCCGUGCCAGCAGCCGCGGUAAUACGGAGGGUGCAAGCGUUAUCCGGAUUCACUGGGUUUAAAGGGUGCGUAGGCGGGCAGGUAAGUCCGUGGUGAAAUCUCUGAGCUUAACUCAGAAACUGCCAUGGAUACUAUUUGUCUUGAAUAUUGUGGAGGCAAGCGGAAUAUGUCAUGUAGCGGUGAAAUGCUUAGAUAUGACAUAGAACACCCAUUGCGAAGGCAGCUUGCUACACAAUGAUUGACGCUGAGGCACGAAAGCGUGGGGAUCAAACAGG
rnacentral:rRNA from 1 species